UACCAGCACCCCGAGUGGUCGGGACGUUUUAUUGGGCCUAAAGCAUCCGUAGCCGGUUCUACAAGUCUUCCGUUAAAUCCAACUGCUUAAACAGGUGGGCUGCGGAAGAUACUAUAGAGCUAGGAGGCGGGAGAGGCAAGCGGUACUCGAUGGGUAGGGGUAAAAUCCGUUGAUCCAUUGAAGACCACCAGUGGCGAAGGCGGCUUGCCAGAACGCGCUCGACGGUGAGGGAUGAAAGCUGGGGGAGCAAACCGG
rnacentral:rRNA from 1 species